rnacentral:rRNA from 1 species
ACGAAGUGCUUCGGCACUUAGUGGCGGACGGGUGAGUAACGCGUGAGAAUCUGCCAAAAGGACUGGGACAACAGCUGGAAACGGCUGCUAAUACCGGAUAUGCCAGAAAGUGAAAUGGGUAAAACCGCCUUUUGAUGAGCUCGCGUCCGAUUAGCUAGUUGGUGGGGUAAAAGCCUACCAAGGCGACGAUCGGUAACUGGUCUGAGAGGAUGACCAGUCACACUGGGACUGAGACACGGCCCAGACUCCUACGGGAGGCAGCAGUGGGGAAUUUUCCGCAAUGGGCGAAAGCCUGACGGAGCAAUACCGCGUGAGGGAGGAAGGCUCUUGGGUUGUAAACCUCUUUUCUCAGGGAAGAACACAAUGACGGUACCUGAGGAAUCAGCAUCGGCUAACUCCGUGCCAGCAGCCGCGGUAAUACGGAGGAUGCAAGCGUUAUCCGGAAUGAUUGGGCGUAAAGCGUCCGCAGGUGGCUUUGCAAGUCUGCUGUCAAAGCUCAGGGCUUAACCCUGAAUCGGCGGUGGAAACUGAAAGGCUAGAGUGUGGUAGGGGCAGAGGGAAUUCCCAGUGUAGCGGUGAAAUGCGUA